AUAUCAAAGCUGCAUAAUAUCAAAUGUAUCUAAAUGUAUUGUUUGUGUGUUCGUUUUUCAUUUCAUCACUAAAUGCACAUUCCAACCGGUGCAGUUAACGGCUAUGACAGCUAUCGGUUAAGUUUUCAAAUGUCACACACUAGUAUACUACACACGUUUUAUUCAGUUCAAAUCGAAAAUUGACAACCGACAAUUUAACCACAGAGCUGCAUUCAUUCUUACUUUACAAUAAAACAAAAGUAACACAUAGUCAUGGUGACGAAUGAAGAAACAAGAUUUGAUCGUAUGGAUCCCGAAAAAAUUCUGGGCGCAACAUUCAUAGAUGGUGAAUUGGUGUUCCUUAUGAAAUGGAAAAAAUCUGAGAAAACUGAUUUGGUAAAAUCGACAUUGGC